UGGGGUGUAGCCAAGCGGCAAGGCAUGGGACUUUGACUCCCACAUACGCAAGGUUCGAAUCCUGCCACCCCAG
rnacentral:tRNA from 1 species